UACCUCUCGUACUACCGCUAUUUCCAUUCAGGAAUCCGCCGGAGGAGCUUCCGCCAUCAAGGUAAUCGAAAGCGACCUGGCUGUUUCCGGGACGGGUUCGGGAGAUUUCGAAUUGGCGCGCGAACUGGUAGUGUGAGGAAUGGCGGUAUUGGUGGGAGGGAUUCCGAUGAUGAUGAUUGGGAAGGGGUGAAGAGCACCGAAUUGGAUGAGCUCUACAGCGCCGCAACUGCAUUUGUGGCUGCAUCUGCUUUCUCCCAAGGUCUCCAAUGAAGUACGGUUGCAAAAUUACAUUGAUGUCGGUACCGAGUGAUAUCCAUCUUGGUUGGUUAGUGCAAGUGGGUGAAGGAAGGACCACAGUGCAUUGGGCAUUGGAUCGUGGGGCAUUCUAAUGCUGUGGAGCUGCUUGUUAGCAGGAAAGCUAAUAUAGAUGUAAAGGUACCUAGAACACAUUUAUAUUCUAUUUACUGAUCAAGAUCAUCUGCGGGAUUUUCAUACCGACCCGACUAGUCUUUACUUGGUGGUAGCUCUUGCCUGUGCCACGUUUCUUAUUGAGAAUGUACUGAUAGUAUUAGACAGAAAUGAUUAUAUCUUAAUUAAGGAAGUUGAUGGCCAAACUCCAUUGCAUUAUGCCAUUGUUUGUGAUAGAGAAGCGAUCGCUGAAUAUCUUGUCAAGAACAAUGCCAGCAUUAAUGAAAAAGACAAUGAUGGAAAGUGGCCUUGUGAUCUUUGCAAGUUUAACUGGCCUUUUGGUCUCAGCGGGAAAGUAUAGAUUAUUUCUCACGCGCCUUUUGAAUGUAAUACUCCCAUGCAUGGCCCCUCCCAACAACUUCAUUAUAGAUAGUUUUAGAGUACUUAUGAAGUUUACCUGUUUCAUAUCAAAUGCUGAAGGCUUCAAUAGUAUCUAUCUCGUUGUUAA